rnacentral:rRNA from 1 species
GAUCUGGCUCAGGAUGAACGCUAGCGACAGGCCUAACACAUGCAAGUCGAGGGGCAGCGGAGAGGUAGCAAUACCUUUGCCGGCGACCGGCGCACGGGUGAGUAACACGUAUGCAAUCCACCUGUAACAGGGGGGAUAACCCGGAGAAAUCCGGACUAAUACCCCAUAAUAUGGGCGUUCCGCAUGGAGAGCUCAUUAAAGAGAGCAAUUUUGGUUACAGACGAGCAUGCGCUCCAUUAG